UUGUUAUGUUCACUUACAAUUUCCAAUGUUCCACUUUCUCCUUGCUGUUAGACAACAGUGACACAUACUCUCUCAAAUACAUGUACAUAUACAUAUAUAGACAUACAAAUGCAUAUAAGCAAAAAGACUAUCAACUUUAUAUGUGACAUUCAGGGUCUAAUUCUGCUUUAUUCUCAGUGUAAUAAAAAGAAAAGCGGCAAAUGCAGAUCACAUACAAAAAUCCUUACACCAGGAAUUCUGGAAAACCAUUUAGAAAACCACCUGCACUGCUUGUGGGCCAGCUGGCUCCCACAGAUGAAAAAAUCCAGGGGCAGAAGGCUGACUAAAAUCCCACCUUAGCUUUCAUUGCAAGGACAUGAGUGUUUGCAAUUUCCUAAUGACGAUGGCACAAAUGUACUGGCAAUCUGUUAACUCAAAAGCUUGUUAUGAUUUCAUCCUGAACUGAGCCUAUGAAGAAAGCUUUCUCCAGAAAUCUUGGGAAUAACUUUAGAAGAUUCUAAUUGUGCAGCUAAAUAACUUUGGAUGACUUAUUCCUCGUAACUUUUUUUUCAAUAUAUGAAAACAGCCUAAAGACAAAAUACAUUUAAUAAACUAAUCUUAUACAUGGUGCAAGCCGGAAAAAAAGUACGUUCAGUUUGGGGACAUAAUGCAGAAACCAUAAACUACUAUCAAAAGGCAUUCAAGUAAGUGGACUCGAAAAGCAGUAAUAACUUCAUGAAACUCUUUGUCCUUUCCACUAACCUUGGCAUAAAAGAGAGAAAAAAAUACAUAUUGAGUUUUCACCAAUCCUACUGUGGGGUAAGAACAUAUUAGUAUUCUGGCUUGAUCUUGGCAUAUGCAUUAAUGAUAAACUUGCUGCAAAACAAUUUUUCUUCCUUACAAAGAAUCUCAGUUCUGAUUGGGUUAUAUAAAUCUCCCCCUUUGUUUUUAUUUUUCUUGUCCUUUUGCAAGACAUUCUUUCCUCUCUGCAAAUAGCCUCUCCAGUCCCUUUCUUACUUCAGCAGCCGCUUAGCGCCUCCCUGAACCAUUUUGGACCAAGUUUCUCUCCUAGUCUCAUCUUCUCAUUUGAAAUCUCUUCUGAUGCAUUGAGCCUCCCAGAACUCCUGAGAUUUUUCCAUCUGCUUUCCGUAUGCUCUGCAUAGAUCAGCACAUGUCACAUGACUUGUGGAAUUCAUCACAGACACCCACGUGCUCUAUUCUACUGUAAUUGUAACUUUUAAAAAGAUCACCAAUAUAAAGAUAAAAUGAAAACAAAGACUGUUCCCUAGUCUUCCAGACUCUGUACCUCCCAUCACCUAGAGAAAUACACUGGCACAAAAGCACCAUUGUGUAACUGCUCACCUUUUCCAUACUGAUAACAAUACACCCCUCGGUAUCCAUGCAAGUCUAUGAAAUGAUUUCCAUUUGAGAGAUUGCAGAGAUUGUGUGUCAAGGGAAUAGAUAGAUAAAUGAUACUCUGGAGACCAAACAAAGUAGCAGAGUGGGAGUUCCUGAGCUGUUUGUUGUUGAAAAGACUUAGACAUGACUCUUCUAGCCUGCUUGAAAAAUCCCUUAGUGGAUAUCCAUUUAACCUGAAUGCCAUAACAAAGGCCUAGAAGGUGCCCUCAGCAACAGGUAACCUUGUAUAGUAAAACAUUUUUUACUUUCCUAGGCAGAUAUCAGAAAUGUACAGUCACUGGCUUUGUGCCAUAGUGGUAGUUUUAAACCUGAGCCCCCUGGGUUUCAAUUAUGCCCAGUAAUCACAUGUUGCUUUAGGCUCUCAGUGUCACUGAUUUUCGAACCAAAGAAAAACAAAAGCAUUUUAGUAAUUAAUAUUUUCUGGGAGAAAUGUUCUCUCUUCAAUUGGGUUGACAGGGUCAAAUGGAAAUUAGGAAAAGCCUUAGAGGUCUCCUAGGCACUAAAUUUUUCCUUGCUAAAUUUCUGACAACCCAUAAAAUUGGAAUCAUUGUCCUCCUGAAAGUGUCUGCUCUUACUUUCCCAGGGGAAUAUGAAGAGGGCUAUCUGAUCGGUGCAGUGAUCAUUGGUCUAUCAAAAUCUCAUCCUUAAAUCUUAGUCAAUAUAAAAACUUCAAAGUUAAGCUCCAUUUAGAUUCAGGAACAUGGAAACAUUAUUUCUAUGGAAUCAGUGUAAUUCUUCCUGUAUCAUUAUCAAAGGAAAAGAGUUGCACAGCUUUUCCAGUAUUUUAGAGACCUGACCCUAGGGCCUAGGGAAGUGGAUAUUUUAGCUAUAAGAGCCUGCCAAUAACGUGCUCCUCAAAUACUAAAACAAUCAUCACGUGCAGCUUUACUUUGCUGGAGUUAUCUACUGAAAGAAGUUACGCUUCUUGGAAACAAAACAAUGUUUCUGUAACUUAGAAUUAUUCCAGGUGGAGCCUUCCAACCAUGGGUGAAAUGCUUUUGAUUUGGUAAACUCUGAAGCAAGUUGCUGGGCAUCAGUGGGCUUCAUGGGAAAUAUCUUGACCCUGUCGGUGGUUUGAACAGAUUAUGCUACUUCACAUUAUGCACAUGGUUAGAAGACUGAAAGAGUUACGAUUAUAGCUGGAAGAGUUAAGAUUAUGACUCACAGAACCAGUGGUGUUCUAGAGCUACUUUGUAGUGGUUGAGAGUCCACUGUUAAAUAUUCAGGAAUUUCCUCAACUACAACCAUUGGUAGCUUGCAAUUUGCUAUGACAGAAAUAUUUACACCAUGAAAAUUGGCAGACACUACAAACUGGGGCUUUCUUUAACUUCUGAAAGAAAAUUUACUGCCAUACCACUGCAUAUAGGCUUAAGCAAACAGAAUAGACCCCAGAAUUGAGAAAAAUAUUCUAUCUUUCCUAAAAAGCAGAACUACAAAUGAAUCAGUAAUUUGAAAAGAAAGAAAUCAUGAAAAUAAAGCCCUUCUGUUGCUAAUUUACUAUAAAUCUUAAUUCUAGAGAAACUCUUUCCAAGUUUUAUAAUUUCACAUUCAUACCAAAUUACAUGCCUCAAAGUACUCUGCCCUUUUCCUUGGCAUUGGAGGUAGACUUUUGCCCACCCCAGGAAUAGACUGUUGGAUAUCAAGAGUGUGGAAAGUUAAGGCAAAAAAACUAUUAUGAGUAACAGCAGGAAAGAGGAGGGAUUAUUUUUCAAAUACUUAAACAUAGGUCACAGUCUGCAGCAAUGCUCACUAAAAUGUUAAUUCAAUUCAACUUGACAAACAUUUACAAACAAUAAGUGUUUGUUGAAUUGAAUUGAAAUGUUAACAUUUAUCCUCCUGUGAUAUUUCUCUGCAGAAAUUAGAAAGUAUUCUUAGACUGUAAACUAAAUUCCACCCUGAGAUGAAUGUUAACUUUAUAAUAAAUACAAUCAUAAAAUAUCUAUAACCUUAUUUCAAGACACCUCCCAUUGAAUUAUUUCAAAGCUUAGACAAAAUAAUGCAGAGAUUCUACCCCAUUUAAAUAGUGCAAGAAAAUCCACAAAAAGGGAACAGAGCUUCCUGGACUUCUAAUUUAGUGAGCAGCUAUAAAUAAUUUAUGGUAGACCGUAGACUGUCUUGUUUUUUCACCACUGGGUUAUCUCCCCACUUCUAAUAGAAGCACUUCAACCCUAUCUCUAACAAAGGUACCUUCAUCUAGGAUCAGUACACAUUCUAUAAGAAGAAUUGACACACUCCCCAGUGCCGAGAGAGAGCAGGUGAAUCAUCGUUACUACUGAGAGCAUCACAUUGCCCUGGAAACCAUGACUGAUUCAGAGAUGGAUAUUUACUUCACUCUCAAAUAAUUAAACUUUCCUCGGGAUUGUUGAGAGAGGAGUACUUUAUCUUUUUGAUCUUAAACUUGAACCCGAAAGAAUAUAGAUCUGACACUCUUUGCAUCCAUCUUCCUCCAUAGGAAUAAACCCAACCUGAAGGAAAGCAGAACUGAAAGAUGCAGAGAGACUGAGGACUGCUGAUACUGUUGAAGCACCUAGACCAAGCCUUCUGAAAGUCAUCACUACACUAGUCUUAAAAGCCUUAAAUUACCUUUGUUUAUAAUACCUUGAGUUAAUGUUUCCAUCGCUUACUACCGAGAGUCCUCAUAUAGUAUUCACAGGUUUUUCAAACUACUUCAUACCCAUAAUCACCAGAAUUACUGACUUCUAAAAGUCUUCUGAAAAUGCCAAAGCCAUGUGUUUACCUGUCCUUAUAUCCAAGCCCUUUGCUAUGUAACUUUGCAAUUCUUCCUGCUAAAAGGCAGAGGGCACUUCCCACCUCCUCACAUUGGGUUUAGCCAUAUGAUUUUCUUUGACCAAAGGAGUAUUAUAACGCAAUCAGCUACAGAUAUAAUACAAUCAGGAGUUUAAAGUGGGCUUACAUAAUUGGUUUGCCUUCUUGGCCUUCUGUCAUGGCCAUCUCAAGAAUGCGCUGGCUAGUAUGCUGAUCAAGGAAUAUGAAAGACGUGGCGAGUAGACUCAAACACCCCAGCUGCUGUGAUAUGAUAUAAAGUAUAAAGUCAUGCUAGCCAACAUUUAGACCUCUAGGGGGAAAACAAUUGUUGUUUUAACACAUUCAGACAGCUUGUUGCUCAGAAUACCCACACUACUCCCAGUAUAGAAAGAAGAAAUUGCUAUAAAUCUCUAAGAAGGUCCUACAUGAUUUUCCAAGCAGUUAAGUAAAUAAUAACUAAAACUUAAAUAGCAUGUAGGACAUCCCAGGCAUUGAUCUAAGUGUUCUACAUGUAUCAAUUCCUUUAAUCUUUACAGUAACUGUUUGAGAUACGUGUUAUUAUCACUUUCCUGGGACAAAACUGAGGUGCAGAGAGACUAAGAAACUUGCCCCAGUCACACAGGAUUUAGGUCUUGAAUCCAGGUUGUCUGUACCUCUAUGCUAUUAGGCUAGAUUUGUUUUUUGCGUUUUGUUUUGUUUUGUUUUUGUUUUUUUUUUGUUUUUUAAACUGUAAGAAAUGAUAGGGACUGUGUUUUUCCAGAGUCAGGCAUCAUCAUGUUCAGCUAGUUGUUACCAUGUGGGAUUGAGAGCAUUCUAAGCUUUGAGAAAAGCAAAAAAUCCAGGUUUUUUAUAAAUUUAUUUUUUUAAAAGCAUUUCAAAUAUUGAAAUGUUUGAAUGUUUAACACCAUGAAAGUUAACCUUGAACAGUAUAAGCUCAACAAAACACAUUUAAAACUAAAUUUGGCUAUGGCCUGUCCACCACUGAUCUAAGUUUAGCAGUUCAGUCCUAUUCAAGUAGCAAUGUCUGGCACCUAUAUCUUGAGCUUUUCUAAUGUUCUUGAAAGUGUGACAACAAUUUUAUUUCUAAUGUUUACUACAAGGCAAGUAAACAUGGUGCUUCCACACUGCCUUUCCCUUCGAGACUUAAGCUGCCGCCACAACUCACAGAUCAUUUGCUUUUCAGGUCCUUAAUGUCACAUCCAGACUUUUGUGUCACCUCACAUCCAGAGACUUGGGCCUGCUGCUCCUUCCACUUGGGUCAUUCUUCUCCCCUUCUGUUUUAGUCUGUUUUCACGCUGCUGAUAAAGACAUACCCGAGACUGGGAAGAAAAAGGUU
rnacentral:lncRNA from 1 species